AAGGGCAUAGCAGACACAGCAGCUUCCUCAACACAAGAACAACAGUGGGCAUGUGCCAGUUCCAAAGGCAGUGAGAACUUGGGCAUGGGCCCCCUCUUCCCCAGUAUAGAAGGAGCAUGGUGCCCAACACUGAUAGGCCUGGAUGGAAGAUCUGAGGAGAGAGCAUAGGAUGGCGGUUGUCACCUCUUCCUGGAAGCCUCUUCGGACAUUCACUCCACGCCCCCCCACCCCCCCCACCCCCGGCUACUUGCUGCAGUCCCCCAGAUGAUGCUUUUUCACUGCAUUUCUUUUAUGGCUUGCCAGUGACGUCACAUGGGUUGGCUUAGGCUGCUCACCAGAUUCUCACCUCUUUCCAUGAGAAUUAAUUUUCACACUCUGCCCUACCCCCAGCCCCAGAUCAUAAAUUAGUUUCUUAAAGAGACCUGUUUGGGCUCACAGGUUCUUUUUUUUAAAUCUGAUGAAGAGAGCACAUGGCUUUGUAUGUUAAGACUGCGUGCGUAUGCCCUCCCACAAAGCCCAUUGUGGGAGUAUGCUCAGCUAAAACAGAACCAUACACUGAGAAGGGUGCACUGUUGCUCUUUGGUGUUGAUGCAAUGCUGAAUCAAAAUCAGGCUUGGUUAGUGACCCGACUCCCCACCCCACCCCCACCCCACCAGCAAUGUCAACUAAAACCCUUAUUUUAUAAGCUUGUGUCUUUUUUCAUUCACAUGCAUUUGGACUGCGCCAGCAAAGGGCAACUGAGAGUCCUGAAGCAGAGUCAUAGGAGUUCACGGGUAUUCUAAGGCCAGAUAUGGAACAACCAGGAAGACUGAAAGCCAGAAGAGCCGUGGUUAAGGAAGUUGGGUAUGGAAGAGUGCACACUUCCUUAAUUAGGCCUGUUCUCUUUUUACUUUUUUGAGUCUGUUUUGUUGUUGUUGUUUUCCCCCGUUCUUUCUAAUUUUUAGGAAAGCAACUGUAUUUUAGAACAUCAAGAAUCUGGGAACUGGGGGUUGGGGAUUUAGCUCAGUGGCCUGGGUUCGGUCCCCAGCUCCGGAAAAAAAAGAACAAAAAAAAAAAAAAAAAAAAAAGAA